GACAUUGGUGGUGUCCCUCAUCAAUUCUGCACCAGAUAGUGUUGUCACCAUGAGCCAAGUAACAAGCAGCUUACUCAAUGAGGAGUUGAGACGGAAAAACUCAACCAGUUCUCAUAGUGAAGCACAAGCACUCGUCACAAAAAAUAGAGGGCGGUCAAAGUCAAGAGAUAAAAGUCACUCAAAAGGUAGAAGCAAGUCAAGAUCAAGGAAGGAGAUUACUUGUUACAACUGUGGUGAAAAAGGACACUUCAAGAAUCAGUGCAAGCAGCCCAAGAAGAACAAGAAAAAGG
rnacentral:lncRNA from 1 species